GCGGGAAUAGCUCAACUGGCUAGAGCGACAGCCUUCCAAGCUGUAGGUUGCGGGUUCGAGUCCCGUUUCCCGCUCCA
rnacentral:tRNA from 2 species